UACGGGGGGGGCAAGCGUUGUUCGGAAUUACUGGGCGUAAAGGGCUCGUAGGCGGCCAACUAAGUCAGACGUGAAAUCCCUCGGCUUAACCGGGGAACUGCAUCUGAUACUGGAUGGCUUGAGAUUGGGAGAGGGAUGCGGAAUUCCAGGUGUAGCGGUGAAAUGCGUAGAUAUCUGGAGGAACACCGGUGGCGAAGGCGGCAUCCUGGACCAACACUGACGCUGAGGAGCGAGAGCCAGGGGAGCAAACGGG
rnacentral:rRNA from 1 species